CAGCAGCGGCGGUAAUACGUAGGGUGCGAGCGUUAAUCGGAAUUACUGGGCGUAAAGCGUGCGCAGGCGGUUAUAUAAGACAGAUGUGAAAUCCCCGGGCUCAACCUGGGACCUGCAUUUGUGACUGUAUAGCUAGAGUACGGUAGAGGGGGAUGGAAUUCCGCGUGUAGCAGUGAAAUGCGUAGAUAUGCGGAGGAACACCGAUGGCGAAGGCAAUCCCCUGGACCUGUACUGACGCUCAUGCACGAAAGCGUGGGGAGCAAACAGGAUUAGAUACCCCGGUAGUCCCUGUCUCUUAUAC
rnacentral:rRNA from 1 species